AACGAACGCUGGCGGCAUGCCUAACACAUGCAAGUCGAACGAGACCUUCGGGUCUAGUGGCGCACGGGUGCGUAACGCGUGGGAACCUGCCCUUAGGUUCGGAAUAACUCCCCGAAAGGGGUGCUAAUACCGGAUAAUGUCUUCGGACCAAAGAUUUAUCGCCUUUGGAUGGGCCCGCGUUGGAUUAGCUAGUUGGUAGGGUAAAAGCCUACCAAGGCGACGAUCCAUAGCUGGUCUGAGAGGAUGAUCAGCCACACUGGGACUGAGACACGGCCCAGACUCUUAGGGAAGGGAGGGGGGGGUAAUAUAGCAAAGGGGCGGAAGUGUUGACCCAGCAUGGCCGGGGGAGUGAUGAGGCCGGUGGGGUUAAAAGGCUUUUUUCCCCGAAAUGAAAAGGAAGGUACCGGAAGAAAAAGCCCCGGCUAACUCCGUG
rnacentral:rRNA from 1 species